AAGCAGCCUCUCGAGUGGUUUCACGCAUUCCUUGUUUAGCUGAAGGCAACAUAGCGCAACUUUCGCUUCAGUGUUGGUCAUACAAACAUGUUGAAAGGAGGAACGGGUGGUAUUUAAAACGCGUUGAACAAGCCCGAUAAAAAGUAGUUCGCUUUCUUUUUGGUUAAUCUAUUGUUACAGUCUGUGUCGUAUAUCAUUAAUAGCUGUGUCUUGUUUUUCUGACGAGGAUGUUGUCAAAUUGAUCCCCCUCCCCUUUUGGUGUAUGUUACUUUAUCCUUCCCUCUGUGUCUAUCAGUUUCAGUGUUAAAAUGGCAGCAAGAUGGCAGGACAUAGCGGCUCAGCAUGCCGAUGUGAUAUCUAGCCAUCUGCGAGAGCUGCUAUCCACUGGUCUGGACCUGCUGCAUUCCAAACUCGGGGUGGACCUGGGGCUGAAGCCCGAACAGUACCCGUCCUGGGUUCUGUUGCUGACGGCCUUCAUCGGGUUGCUGGUGAUCGUGGUCGUGUGGGCCGCGGCCUGCGUCGGGCUUUGCGCUGGGAGAAAGCGGGGGGCCAGAGCCAGCGACACUGGGAGCCAUGCCACAAAAACAUCGACAAGCAAGAGUGUAAAAGGAGAAGAGCAAAAGAAAAAGAACAAGAAAAAAACGGUUGAAAAGAAACCUCAGAAUGGAUGCACAAUACUUGAACUGCAAGAAGAUUAUGUAAAAGCUACCAGUGAGAUUUUGAAACAAUCAGAAAUGAAGGUUGAAAAGCAAAUAAAGAAGACCAAGAAGACAAAAGCAGGAGUAAAACAAGCCCUUCAUAUCUCUUCUGGUGGAAAAGAACCUGAGGAUGGUGCAUGGGAAACUAAGAUCAGUAACCGGGAGAAGAAGCAGCAGCGAAGGAGAGACAAAGUGACUGAGGAUUCCAGUCUUCCUGAAACACAAGGAAUUGUUGCUACAGAACACCCCACAUCACUUGCCUCAGUUCCAGUUCUUAGGAAGAUCAAAGGGGAACCUGUUCGUAUGAAGCCAAGAAAAGGAGAGGCCAUAAUAUCUCAGGUGUCAGCCAGCUGGAAUGAAGCCCCUACAGUGAAUGGAGGUGGGUGGAAUGACAUGGCUAUGAAACUUCCCACUCAGAUGUCCGGAGGAGAUGGCGAGACCUGGACAACGAUCACAAAAGCUGCUGCUAAAAGAAACCCAGAGCCAGCUUGGGGUCAGGAACUAGAAGGUCCUGGAGAAGCAGGUCCUCGGACUACAAUUGCUGAUCUGCAGUUGGAAAGCAGCCGAGCAAAAAUUGACGAUCAGUGGUCUGGCACAAAUGGACUUUCAACAGAAGAUCCCAGCUCUGACUGGAAUGCUCCUACUGAAGAGUGGGGAAACUGGGACGAGCAGAAAGUCUUGCCACUUCCUCAGCUUGUGGGGCCAGCUACAGAGGUUCAGAAGGUAUCGGAUGAGAAAGAAAAGGUGGACUCUGCUGCUGCUGCUGCUGCUGCUGCUGCAAGUGGAAAAUCAAAAAAGAAAAAAAAGAAAAAGAAGCAAGGAGAGGAUAGCAGUGCUCCUGUCCAGGAAACUGGGGAGCCUGAAAAGGAGCCUUCAUCUGAAUUGGAGGUGCCCAACUCUGAGCCGGAAAUGGCUCUGCCUGAAGAGGCUACACCUACUAUUGAACUAGUGAAGGUUGAGUUGGAGCGACCAGACCCAGUCAUGACAGAGCCACCUGUAACUGUAUUUGACAGUACUUGUAAGAAUAUCGCUUCACAAGUGCCACAGAGGCUACUGGAGCCAGAACCUCCAGUUUCCACUACUAAACAAAGCAACGUGCCUUCACUUUCACAGACUUUCAUAUUGAAGCUUGUUGUGUAGGCUACUACUCAUACAAUCAAACCAAGCAGGAAUUUGCUUGCACCGUUUUAAGACGUUUUUCAAGUCAAGUAAGCUUGCUUGUUUGUGUAUAAAACACGUCAAUAGUGUUAUCUUACUUUAAAGCAAAAUCUGAAGAGAACUGGGAGUCACCAAAGCAAGUUCAAAAGAAGAAGAAAGCAAGAAGGGAAACAUGAGUUUUAACUAGAUUUAAGUUUAAGAAUAUGCAAAAUGAUUUUGAAGAAAUUCAUGUUUAUGCAAUAAUUUGAAAGUGUGCAGAAUUUUAUACAAAUUGACUGUACAUUAAAAAAAAAAAAUCAAAA